rnacentral:sRNA from 1 species
UAUGUUUCUACGCAAGAAAAAAAAUGAUUAUAUUCUUUAAUAGACAACAGAAAAGCAUUCGUCACUGUACAGCGCUUUAAAUUUUCGCAGAACUUGGAAUGUGUGGUAUCAGAGGAAAGAUGCUAAAUGUUAUACGCUAUAAGUUCUUUGUAUAAUAACAUGAACUCCUGUAUUACGUCAGCAAGAAUGUUAUCAGAUGUUUUCAAAGAAAUCACUUGGUCUUCUUCCAAGGCAGGAUUUGUUCCCCCUCAAAAUUGAGUUUAAAAAGAAUUGUAAUGUCCAUUAACAAGUACAAGAAUCGAAUCUUUUUACGUUGAUGCAUGCUGAUGACAUUUAAAAUGAAAUUUACAAGAUCAUUUGUUGCUUCAAAGACUUCAUAAAAGCAUUCAUCACUGUACGGCGUUUUCAACUUUUGAACUGAUUUUCAACUGAUGUUAAACACGUUACAUGAUUACGCAUAAAAUGGUGGGAUCUGGCCAUUAAUACCGAUAAAACUAAAAUUGUUGUACACAGAAACAGAGGUAAUAAAGUACAAGAAAACAAAAAAGGCAUAAUAUGCACACUGGCCAAAUAAAAGUUGUAGAUAAAAUC